AGUGAACGCUGGCGGUAGGCCUAACACAUGCAAGUCGAACGGCAGCACAGUAAGAGCUUGCUCUUACGGGUGGCGAGUGGCGGACGGGUGAGGAAUACAUCGGAAUCUACUUUUUCGUGGGGGAUAACGUAGGGAAACUUACGCUAAUACCGCAUACGACCUACGGGUGAAAGCAGGGGAUCUUCGGACCUUGCGCGAUUGAAUGAGCCGAUGUCGGAUUAGCUAGUUGGCGGGGUAAAGGCCCACCAAGGCGACGAUCCGUAGCUGGUCUGAGAGGAUGAUCGGCCACACUGGAACUGAGACACGGUCCAGACUCCUACGGGAGGCAGCAGUGGGGAAUAUUGGACAAUGGGCGCAAGCCUGAUCCAGCCAUACCGCGUGAGCGAAGAAGGCCUUCGGGUUGUAAAGCCCUUUUGUUGGGAAAGAAAAGCAGCAGGUUAAUACCCCGCUGUUCUGACGGUACCCAAAGAAUAAGCACCGGCUAACUUCGUG
rnacentral:rRNA from 1 species